AAUCAACGCUGGCGGCGUGCCUAACACAUGCAAGUCGAACGCGAAAGUCCCGCAAGGGAUGAGUAGAGUGGCAAACGGGUGAGUAACGCGUGGGUGACCUGCCUUCGAGCGGGGGAUAACGUUCCGAAAGGGACGCUAAUACCACAUAACAUCCUGCCUUUUAAGAGGUGGAGAUCAAAGCCGGGGAUCGCAAGACCUAGCACUUGAAGAGGGGCCCGCGUCUGAUUAGCUAGUUGGNGAGGUAACGGCUCACCAAAGGCGACGAUCAGUAUCCGGCCUGAGAGGGCGGACGGACACACUGGGACUGAGACACGGCCCAGACUCCUACGGGAGGCAGCAGUGGGGAAUUGUUCGCAAUGGGCGCAAGCCUGACGACGCAACGCCGCGUGGAGGAUGAAGACCUGGUC
rnacentral:rRNA from 1 species